AGAGUUUGAUCAUGGCUCAAGACGAACGCUGGCGGCGUGCUUAACACAUGCAAGUCGAACGAUGAAGUGGAGCUUGCUCCACGGAUUAGUGGCGAACGGGUGAGGAACACGUGAGAAUCCUGCCUCGGAUUUUGGGAUAACAAAUGGAAACGUUUGCUAAUACCAAAUAACGUCGGAGAGCUUCAUGGCUUUCUGACGAAAGGAAUUCCGAUUCGAGAGGGUCUCGCGGCCUAUCAGCUUGUUGGCGGGGUAAUGGCCCACCAAGGCAACGACGGGUAGCUGGUCUGAGAGGAUGGUCAGCCACACUGGGACUGAGACACGGCCCAGACUCCUACGGGAGGCAGCAGUGGGGANUCUUGCGCAAUGGGCGAAAGCCUGACGCAGCAACGCCGCGUGCGGGAAGAAGGCUUUCGGGCUGUAAACCGCUUUCAGCAGGAACGAAAAUGACGGUACCUGCAGAAGAAGGAGCGGCCAACUAUGUGCCAGCAGCCGCGGUGAUACAUAGGCUUCAAGCGUUGUCCGGAUUUAUUGGGCGUAAAGAGUUCGUAGGCGGUCGAGUAAGUCGGGUGUGAAAAUUCUGGGCUCAACCCAGAGACGCCACCCGAUACUGCUUAACUUGAGUUCGAUAGGGGAGUGGGGAAUUCCUAGUGUAGCGGUGAAAUGCGCAGAUAUUAGGAGGAACACCGGUGGCGAAGGCGCCCUCUGGAUCGAUACUGAC
rnacentral:rRNA from 1 species